GACGAACGCUGGCGGCGUGCCUAAUACAUGCAAGUAGAACGCACAGUUUAUACCGUAGCUUGCUACACCAUAAACUGUGAGUUGCGAACGGGUGAGUAACGCGUAGGUAACCUGCCUGGUAGCGGGGGAUAACUAUUGGAAACGAUAGCUAAUACCGCAUAAUAUUGAUUAUUGCAUGAUAAUUGAUUGAAAGAUGCUAUUGCAUCACUACCAGAUGGACCUGCGUUGUAUUAGCUAGUAGGUGAGGUAACGGCUCACCUAGGCAACGAUACAUAGCCGACCUGAGAGGGUGAUCGGCCACACUGGGACUGAGACACGGCCCAGACUCCUACGGGAGGCAGCAGUAGGGAAUCUUCGGCAAUGGACGAAAGUCUGACCGAGCAACGCCGCGUGAGUGAAGAAGGUUUUCGGAUCGUAAAGCUCUGUUGUAAGAGAAGAACGGGUGUGAGAGUGGAAAGUUCACACUGUGACGGUAUCUUACCAGAAAGGGACGGCUAACUACGUG
rnacentral:rRNA from 1 species